GACGAACGCUGGCGGCGUGCUUAACACAUGCAAGUCGAACGGUCCAGCACAUAAAGUAAUUUAUGUGCUGGAUAGUGGCGGACGGGUGAGUAACGCGUGAGCAAUCUGCCUUCAAGAGGGGGAUAACACCGGGAAACCGGUGCUAAUACCGCAUAAGACCACGGUGUCACAUGGCACAGGGGUCAAAGGAGCAAUCCGCUUGAAGAUGGGCUCGCGUCCCAUUAGCUAGUUGGUGAGGUAACGGCUCACCAAGGCGACGAUGGGUAGCCGACCUGAGUGGGUGAUCGGCCACACUGGAACUGAGACACGGUCCAGACUCCUACGGGAGGCAGCAGUGGGGGAUAUUGGGCAAUGGGCGAAAGCCUGACCCAGCAACGCCGCGUGAGGGAAGAAGGUCUUCGGAUUGUAAACCUCUGUCCUUGGGGACGAAAAAAAUGACGGUACCCAAGGAGGAAGCCCCGGCUAACUACGUGCCAGCCGCCGCGGUAA
rnacentral:rRNA from 1 species